rnacentral:rRNA from 1 species
GAUGAACGCUGGCGGCGUGCCUAAUACAUGCAAGUCGAACGAGUGGCGGACGGGUGAGUAACGUCUGGGAAACUGCCCGAUGGAGGGGGAUAACUACUGGAAACGGUAGCUAAUACCGCAUACCAUCGGAUGUGCCCAGAUGGGAUUAGCUAGUAGGUGGGGUAAUGGCUCACCUAGGCUACGAUCCCUAGCUGUUCUGAGAGGGUGACCGGCCACACUGGAACUGAGACACGGUCCAGACUCCUACGGGAGGCAGCAGUGGGGAAUAUUGCACAAUGGGCGCAAGCCUGAUGCAGCCAGGCCGCGUGUAUGAAGAAGGCCUUCGGGUUGUAAAGUUCUUUCAGCGGGGAGGCGUUACUCGCAGAGGAAGCACCGGCUAACUCCGUGCCAGCCGCCGCGGUAAUAC